rnacentral:rRNA from 1 species
GAUGAGCGCUAGCUACAGGCUUAACACAUGCAAGUCGAGGGGAAACGACAUCGAAAGCUUGCUUUUGAUGGGCGUCGACCGGCGCACGGGUGAGUAACGCGUAUCCAACCUGCCCAUCACUUGGGGAUAACCUUGCGAAAGUAAGACUAAUACCCAAUGAUAUCUCUAGAAGACAUCUGAAAGAGAUUAAAGAUUUAUCGGUGAUGGAUGGGGAUGCGUCUGAUUAGCUUGUUGGCGGGGUAACGGCCCACCAAGGCAACGAUCAGUAGGGGUUCUGAGAGGAAGGUCCCCCACAUUGGAACUGAGACACGGUCCAAACUCCUACGGGAGGCAGCAGUGAGGAAUAUUGGUCAAUGGGCGAGAGCCUGAACCAGCCAAGUAGCGUGCAGGAAGACGGCCCUAUGGGUUGUAAACUGCUUUUAUAAGGGAAUAAAGUGAGAGUCGUGACUCUUUUUGUAUGUACCUUAUGAAUAAGGACCGGCUAAUUCCGUG